GACGUAGGGGGCGAGCGUUGUCCGGAUUUAUUGGGCGUAAAGAGCGCGUAGGCGGCCCGUUAAGUCGGAUGUGAAAACCCGUGGCUCAACCACGGGCCUGCAUCCGAUACUGUCGGGCUCGAGUGCGGAAGAGGCGAGUGGAAUUCCUGGUGUAGCGGUGAAAUGCGCAGAUAUCAGGAGGAACACCGAUUGCGAAGGCAGCUCGCUGGGACGUUACUGACGCUGAGACGCGAAAGCGUGGGGAGCAAACAGG
rnacentral:rRNA from 1 species